rnacentral:antisense_RNA from 1 species
UUUGACACGACAUUGCUCACAUUGCUUCCAGUGUAAUUUAUAGCUUCUUGAUGAAGCGAUUCUAAU